rnacentral:tRNA from 1 species
GCGCCGGUGGUGUAAUGGUGUAGAGCAUUCCCGCCAAGUGGGCAGGACAUGCGAGUUCGAGUCCCGCCUGGCGCC